CCUACGGGGGGCAGCAGUGAGGAAUAUUGGUCAAUGGGCGGGAGCCUGAACCAGCCAAGUCGCGUGAGGGAAGACGGUCCUAUGGAUUGUAAACCUCUUUUGUCGGGGAGCAAAGAGGCCACGUGUGGUCAAAAGCGAGAGUACCCGAAGAAAAAGCAUCGGCUAACUCCGUGCCAGCAGCCGCGGUAAUACGGAGGAUGCGAGCGUUAUCCGGAUUUAUUGGGUUUAAAGGGUGCGUAGGCGGGACGGUAAGUCAGCGGUAAAAAUGCGGAGCUCAACUCCGUCGAGCCGUUGAAACUGCCGUU
rnacentral:rRNA from 1 species